CCUACGGUGGUCAGCAGUGGGGAAUAUUGCACAAUGGGGGGAACCCUGAUGCAGCGACGCCGCGUGAGUGAAGAAGUAUUUCGGUAUGUAAAGCUCUAUCAGCAGGGAAGAAAAUGACGGUACCUGACUAAGAAGCCCCGGCUAACUACGUGCCAGCAGCCGCGGUAAUACGUCGGGGGCAAGCGUUAUCCGGCUUUACUGGGUGUAAAGGGAGCGCAGACGGCUGUGCAAGUCUGUAGUGAAAGGCGGGGGCACAACCCCCGGACUGCUCUGGAAACUGUAAAGCUGGAGUGCGGGAGAGGUAAGCGGAAUUCCUAGUGUAGCGGUGAAAUGCGUAGAUAUUAGGAGGAACACCAGUGGCGAAGGCGGCUUACUGGACUGCAACUGACGUUGAGGCUCGAAAGCGUGGGGAGCAAACAGGAUUAGAUACCCGAGUAGUC
rnacentral:rRNA from 1 species